rnacentral:lncRNA from 1 species
UAUUAUUAUCAUCACAUAAAACAGCUUAAGAAGUACAGUCUUGGGACUGUACCUUUCGUCAUGCAUGAUGUGAGGGGUCUAGAAGUUGGAGAUACGAAAGGGGUGCACACUAAAGACAUCAUCAACGCUUUAAAAGGCCACAUAGCUGACAACUACGCAGUAAGAUAUACACACACAAACACACACAUACACAUGCACACACACACAGAAACCACAGAAACACACAAACACACACUAAACUAUUUAAAACCAAAAUAAAGUCAAUCCUAGCUUCUUCAUGAUAUUUCCACAUUUUUGUCUCUUAUGUAUAGUUUAACCCUGUAGAUCCAAUAUUUACUACAAACAGAUACUACAUCCACAACCCCACUCUGAAUGACCGGAUGCACUGUCUAGUGAGUGUGAUUCCUGCAGACAGAAUUUCCAUGAUGGAGGAUGAAGUCAUCCAGAAAAUGAAGGAGAUCAAAGCAGCAGCGAGUACAUUAGGGAUUCCUCAAGUGCUGUUCAUGACAAGAGUGGACCAAACGUGCAGGCUGACACAGCAGGACAUGGGUAAGAUCUACCAAAGCAAGAAGAUCAAGGAUAAGGUCAGUCACACUCGUACUAGCCUGUACUUUCAGUCCAUAAUAAUAGAAACUGCUAUGAAAUAUGUAACAGAUAAAGUAAUAUAAUUAUGUGUGUCCAGAUGACGGAGUGCAGUAACAAGCUGGAUGUUCCAUUGAGCUGCAUCUUCCCUGUGAAGAACUACAGUGAGGAGACCAAGUUCGAUGAGAAGCUGAACUGCCUGAUGCUGGAAGCCCUCACUCAUAUUGUUAAUGCAGCUAAUGACUACGUGAAAAGAUCAAAUGAGGAGAAUAAUAUGGAUUGAGUUUUAUUUAUGACUGUUAGCGGGGUGUAAGAUAGCAAUGAGGGAUGCUGUUUGUAAAAUAGAGCCCUAUAAUAAUAGGGCUACCUGUAUAAUUAGAGAAAAAAAUAUAUAUAUUUUUUAUUUUGAGUGCGCCUUAUAGUGCCAAAAAAUACGAUUUGACAUUUUCUCAGCUGAUAUCUAGGCUGCUGGUUUUGUUUAUUUGUGUAAAAUUAACAUAUAAAAGGCACUGUUGCAAUUCUCUGAUCCUGCCCGUACACACUAACAGGGUUGUACAUUUUUUUAUUAAAUUGAUAAUGACCACUGAAUUAAAAUGUAUUCCUUAAAUUUGAAAUUUGUAUUGGGAUUGUGAACAGGAAGUGGAAUUGCAAUUCUAAUUUAAAUUGUAGGAGGUAGAAUUGGA